UUUUUAUUUUUUCUAUCAUAUUUAUUUACAAUGUUCUAUCAGUUGACAGAGAAAGCUUCUUUAAAUUACACAUUUCCUGGGAGUUCCCGUCGUGGCUCAUCUCCUUUUUAAACAAAAUUAUAGUUAAUUUACAAUGCUAUGUCAGUUUCUGCUGUAUAGCAAAGUGACCCAGUCUCAUAUAUGUGUGCCUCCUUUAAACUAUGACUUAUCUAGCUUCCCCCGUCCCCCCUCCCCCGCCCAUGAAACUGACUUUUUGAAGAGCACGACUUAGUUGCCUGGGUAGAAUGUCCAAUAGUCUGAAAUAGUAGGACUAUUUCCUUGUGACAUUUUUAGUCGCCUUAUCUCAUUGAAAACAGCCCAUUAUAUUGUAUUGCAUUAGGAAGCACAUGCUGCCAGGCUGCCCUGCUUUCAGGUUGACUGCUUGGGUAAGGAGGUAUAUGCUGCUUCUCCCCAUCAUGUAGAUACGUGUUUCCCUUUGUGGUUACUAAGUCGUCCUUCCAGAGAUGCGUUCGCACUGUGUGAAUAUCUGUAUUCCCCUUAGCCUUUUAAAGCAAAGGGCAAAAACCAUACAAAUGGAAUCAUGUCAUGGAGCGAAAGAAAUAGCUAACUUCAAGCAGUAAGAACGUGUGGAGAGGAUCACAAUCUGCUGUCCUUGGGAACAGAUAUCAUAUCCCUCAAAAGGAGAGGAAAUCUACUGAUCUAUUGAGAAUCUCCCCAUUGUCAAUUGUAAGUAACAAGUCAAGAGUCCCUGGAAUUUAUGUUCUGUAUCCUCCUCACAACCAAGAGGGGCGGGGGGAGGAAGCUGGGAGGCAUCAUUUAUUUAUGCAAACUCUGAAUAUUCCCAUUUACAGGGACUUCUUAUGUGAUUCAAAUUAUAGUCAUUAUGAGUUACUGUGCGGUUUUCCCAGUUCUUAGUGAUCACUCUGACCAUCAUCAGCCCCACUGUGCAGCUGUCGCUGUGCAGAAUGCUCUAGACUCCCAUGGUCAUGUGGGAUUUCUUUAAUGACAGGCUUUUAACAAAACCAUUCUUAAAAUAGUGAGCACUCUAAGCAUGUUAAGAAUUAGAACGAGCACGUUUGAGAGGUACUUCCUUGUGGACAAGGGCUGCAACAAAAAUUGUUCUAGAGGCCCUUUCCUUAGGGAGACCUGCAUUAAAUGUUUCUAAUUUUUGCUUUUAAAAGAAUAUUGUAAAUACAAAUUUCCUUUAUGUAGUCUGUAACAAUUUUAAUAAGUGAAUUCCAGCCACUGAAAGAAAUAACACUGCAUUUGGAGUGGCUAAGCAAUGAGAACCUGCUAGUGCAGGGAACUAUAUAUAGUCACUUGUGAUGGAACAUGAUGGAGGAUAAUGUGAGAAAAAGAAUAUGUGUGUGUGUGUAAGACUGGAUUGCUUUGCGAUAUUGCAGAAUUUGACAGCAAUGUAAAUCAACUACAAUAGAAAAAAUGAAAACCUAAAAAAAGAAAGAAAGAAUAGUUAAUGACUACACUAUAUACACAGGAAUAUCUUUCUUUUCUCAAAAAGAUUGUUUCCAGGUAGUUAUGCUGUAUGUAAUAAAGAACCAAACUUGAGUUUCUAGGUUUUCAGUUUUUAAAUAAUCAUUGAAAGAGCUGAAGGUAAAAAAGUUUCAGUUGAUAUUUUAAAUAUUUAUCAGAAGGAGUAUUUUAAAUCCUAGCUGUUAGAAAAAGUUAAAUGAUGAUGAGUUAUGAAUAAAAAAUUUUUUUAAAAGAAGUUCCCAUUGUGGCUUAGUUGUUUAAGAACCUGACAUAGCGUCCAUGAGGAUACAGGUUUGAUCCCUAGCCUUGCUCAGUGGGUUAAGGAUCCAGCAUUGCUACAAGCUGCAGCAUAGCUCGAAAAUGCUGCUCAGAUCCUGCAUUGCUUUGAUGGCUGUGGCAUAGGCCUGCAGCUGCAGCUCUGAUUCGACUCCUAGCCCUGGAACUUAUGUAUGAGGCAGGUACAACCCGAAAAAGAAAAUUUUAAAAAGAAAUUAAAGGUGCAUUAUGACCUCUUGUUGUUUUGUAUAUGCUAGUGUUUUGAAAUUCAUCAUCAUAAAUAUUUGACCAAGUUUGGGUAUAUGAUUUUGCUAUACAAGAGUUCUUUUUUGGUCCAGAACAGAUAAUACUGGCAAACUAAAUCACUUAAUCUAAGUCUGAUUAAACUAGCCACCUAACAAUUGUGGUAAAUGAUGCUAAAAUGUUUGGUUGGAGCUUGACCUCAAGAAAUGGAACUGAAAUUUAUUUAAAUAAAUUGAUUUUGUCUUUUAACAACAUUAUGAAGGCAUUCUUAUAAUGGGUUACUUAGCAUUUUGUAAUACUAUGCAGAAAAAGUCUUCACUGAGAGUGACCAUUCUCUCAGUAGUUAAGAAAUGUCUGUUUUGGGGCAGGCAGUGUUCUCAGUGCUGGGGCUGCAGCUAUGAACAGCACAGACACACAUCCCUGCUCUACUGAAGCUUAGUGGGGAGAGUGAGAUGAUAGCUGCUAUUUAAAUAAACUAUUUACAUUUUUAUAUUAAACUGAAAGAAACUAUAUUUUAGAUAGUAAAAGCACUAAGAAGAAGAAUAUAGAAGGAAUGAAAGGACAUGAAGCAGCAAGUUUGCAAGUCUAGUUAAUGUGGCCAGGGAAGGUCUCACUGAGAUGACAUCUGAGUCAGACCUGGAGGAAGCAGGGCACUAUUUGGAGCAGGACACACUAAACAGGGACAGCUACUACAGCAGGUGCCUCACAAUAUGUGCUAGGAAGCCCCAAAGGGCUGGUGUAUCCAAAGCAAAAUGAACAAGGGGUAAAAGGGAGAUAAUGGGUUUGGUGGAGGGAGGACAUCAUUAAGGCCUUAAGUCCUUAUACAAAGUAA
rnacentral:lncRNA from 1 species